rnacentral:rRNA from 1 species
UACGUAGGGUGCAAGCGUUAAUCGGAAUACUGGGCGUAAAGCGUGCGCCAGGCGGUUAUGUAAGACAGAUGUGAAAUCCCCGGGCUCAACCUGGGAACUGCAUUGUGACUGCAUAGCUAGAGUACGGCAGAGGGGGAUGGAAUUCCGCGUGUAGCAGUGAAAUGCGUAGAUAUGCGGAGGAACACCGAUGGCGAAGGCAAGCCUCCGUCGCGAUACUGACGCUCAUGCACGAAAGCGUGGGGAGCAAACAGGA